rnacentral:rRNA from 1 species
GAUGAACGCUAGCGGGAGGCCUAACACAUGCAAGCCGAGCGGUAUUGUUUCUUCGGAAAUGAGAGAGCGGCGUACGGGUGCGGAACACGUGUGCAACCUGCCUUUAUCUGGGGGAUAGCCUUUCGAAAGGAAGAUUAAUACUCCAUAAUAUAUUGAACGGCAUCGUUUAAUAUUGAAAGCUCCGGCGGAUAGAGAUGGGCACGCGCAAGAUUAGCUAGUUGGUGAGGUAACGGCUCACCAAGGCAAUGAUCUUUAGGGGGUCUGAGAGGGUGAUCCACCACACUUGAACUGAGACACGGACCAGACUCCUACGGGAGGCAGCAGUGAGGAAUAUUGGUCAAUGGGUGCAAGCCUGAACCAGCCAUCCCGCGUGAAGGACGACUGCCCUAUGGGUUGUAAACUUCUUUUGUAUAGGGAUAAACCUUUCCACGUGUGGAAAGCUGAAGGUACUAUACGAAUAAGCACCGGCUAACUCCGUGCCAGCCGCCGCAGUAAGAC